rnacentral:lncRNA from 1 species
GGGUAAACGUCGCGUUUUCAUUCUGCUUCUUGCAGUUGCUGUGAUAUCAAUCUCUACAUAACUCUAGUCUGUU